GACAGAGGGUGCAAACGUUGUUCGGAAUUACUGGGCGUAAAGCGUGCGUAGGCGGUUCGUUAAGUCUGUCGUGAAAGCCCUGGGCUCAACCUGGGAAUUGCGAUGGAUACUGGCGAGCUAGAGUACGGUAGAGGAUGGUGGAAUUCCCGGUGUAGCGGUGAAAUGCGUAGAGAUCGGAAGGAACAUCAGUGGCGAAAGCGGCUUCCUGGACCAGUACCGACGUUCAGGCACGAAAGCGUGGGGAGCAAACAGG
rnacentral:rRNA from 1 species